rnacentral:rRNA from 1 species
CCUACGGGAGGCAGCAGUGGGGAAUAUUGGACAAUGGGCGAAAGCCUGAUCCAGCAAUGCCGCGUGAGUGAUGAAGGCCUUAGGGUUGUAAAGCUCUUUUACCCGGGGAGAUAAUGACUGUACCGGGAGAAUAAGCUCCGGCUAACUCCGUGCCAGCAGCCGCGGUAAUACGGAGGGAGCUAGCGUUGUUCGGAAUUACUGGGCGUAAAGCGCACGUAGGCGGCUUUGUAAGUUGGAGGUGAAAGCCUGGGGCUCAACUCCAGAAUUGCCUUUAAGACUGCAUCGCUUGGAUCAUGGAGAGGCGGGUGGAAUUCCGAGUGUAGAGGUGAAAUUCGUAGAUAUUCGGAAGAACACCAGUGGCGAAGGCGGCCCGCUGGACAUGUAUUGACGCUGAGGUGCGAAAGCGUGGGGAGCAAACAGGAUUAGAUACCCGAGUAGUC